GGAGGAAAGCAGGGGAUCGCAAGACCUUGCGCUUUUGGAGCGGCCGAUGUCUGAUUAGCUAGUUGGUGAGGUAAAGGCUUACCAAGGCUUCGAUCAGUAGCUGGUCUGAGAGGACGACCAGCCACACUGGGACUGAGACACGGCCCAGACUCCUACGGGAGGCAGCAGUGGGGAAUUUUGGACAAUGGGGGCAACCCUGAUCCAGCCAUGCCGCGUGAGUGAAGAAGGCCUUCGGGUUGUAAAGCUCUUUCAGCCGGAACGAAACGGUCACAGCUAAUACCUGUGACUACUGACGGUACCGGAAGAAGAAGCACCGGCUAACUACGUGCCAGCAGCCGCGGUAAUACGUAGGGUGCGAGCGUUAAUCGGAAUUACUGGGCGUAAAGCGUGCGCAGGCGGUUUUGUAAGUCAGAUGUGAAAUCCCCGGGCUUAACCUGGGAACUGCGUUUGAAACUACAAAGCUAG
rnacentral:rRNA from 1 species